rnacentral:rRNA from 1 species
GUCAGGUAGUAAGGGCGCAGGGCGGAUGCCUUGGCUCUGGGAAGCGAAGAAGGACGUGGCCAGCUGCGAUAAGCCUCGGGGAAGAGCAAACAUCUUUUGAUCCGGGGAUUUCCGAAUGGGGGAACCCGCAUGGCUGUUGAGGCCAUGCACUGUUGAGUGAAUACAUAGCUCAUCAGGGCGAACUUGGGGAACUGAAACAUCUCAGUACCCAAAGGAAUAGAAAUCAACCGAGAUUCUGCUAGUAGCGGCGAGCGAACGCGGAAGAGCCCAAACCACCGGGUACGCCCGGUGGGGUUGUAGGGCCGCCAACAAAGGAUAAUUGGAGGAUUAGCUGAAGUGUCUGGGAAGGCACGGCAUAGAGGGUUAGACCCCCGUAAGCGAAAGUCUGAAGAUGUCCGAGGCGGUACCUGAGUAGGACGGGACACGAGAAAUCCUGUUUGAAUCUGGGGGGACCACCCUCCAAGGCUAAAUAUUACCCAGAGACCGAUAGUGUACCAGUACCGUGAGGGAAAGGUGAAAAGAACCUCGAACAGAGGAGUGAAAUAGUUCCUGAAACCCUGCGUCUACAAGCAGUGGAAGCAAUGCUGAUCUUCGGAUCACGUGCGACCGCGUGCCUUUUGCAUAAUGAGCCAACGAGUUGUCUGUCGGUGGCAGGUUAAGUUUAUAACGAAGCCACAGCGAAAGCGAGUUCGAAAUGAGCGUUCAGUCCCCGGCAACAGACCCGAAACCGAGUGAUCUACCCCUGUCCAGGUUGAAGCCUGGGUAAGACCAGGUGGAAGACCGAACCGUUGAGCCUUAAAACGUUCUCGGAUGAGGUGGGGGUAGGAGUGAAAGGCUAAUCAAACUCGGAGAUAGCUGGUUCUCCCCGAAAUAUAUUGAGGUAUAGCCUCGUGAUAGACCGCCGGAGGUAGAGCACUGGAUGGACUAGGGCCCUCACCAGGGUACCAAACCCAACCAAACUGCGAAUACCGGCGAGUUGUUUCACGGGAGUCAGACAGCGGGAGCUAACUUUCGUUGUCGAAAGGGAAACAACCCAGACCAUCAGCUAAGGCCCCCAAGUCAUGACUAAGUGGGAAAGGAAGUGGGAGCGCCCAGACAACCAGGAGGUUGGCUUAGAAGCAGCCACCCUUUAAAGAAAGCGUAACAGCUCACUGGUCGAGCGAGCCUGCACCGAAAAUAUAACGGGGCUCAAGUCAUGCGCCGAAGCUAUGGGAUUAGAGGCUAGAUUUUAGAGUCUAGAAACUAGAUGGAGAUACAACAUGAGUGUUGAAAGUUUGAAAGUUUAUCAAAAAAGCUAUGCUUUGGCUUUAGAGAUACAUGGAAAAACGCUUAACUUUCCGAAGAUAGAACAGUAUGGAGGUCUUGCGGAUCAACUAAGGCGAUCCAGCAAAUCGGUUCCGGCAAAUAUCACGGAAGGAUUUGGCAGACAAGAGUUUUAUCCAAAAGAAUUCAACCGAUUUCUCAUUACAGCACUAGGAAGCUGUGAUGAGACAAUACUCUGGCUUAAGAUGAGUCGUGAUUUAGAAUAUUUUUCUGAAACAGAAAUCCAAAGAUUUCUGUCUUCAUACACUGAAGUAGGAAAAAUGCUAAGGGGACUCAUCAAAAAAGUGUCUGGCAACUAGCAUCUAGAAUCUAGCUUCUAAUCGGUAGGGGAGCGUUCCCUGUGCAGUGAAGCUGAAUCGAGAGGGUCAGUGGAGCGCAGGGAAGUGAGGAUGUUGGCAUAAGUAACGAAAAUGUGGGCGAGAAACCCACACGCCGAAAGCCCAAGGUUUCCCGGGCCAUGUUAUUCAGCCCGGGGUUAGUCGGCACCUAAGACGAGGCCGAAAGGCGUAGUCGACGGAAAACCGGUUCAUAUUCCGGUACUUGCAUGUGCGCGUGAUGGAGGGACGCAGGAGGAUAGGCCGGCCUGGUGAUGGAUAUCCAGGUUCAAGGCCGUAGGCGGAAGUCUCAGGUAAAUCCGGGACUUUAUCUAACGCCGAGAGUCGAUGACGAGAGGCUUUGCUUCGCAAAGCGGUCGAUUCCACACUGCCAAGAAAAGCUUCUAAGCAUAGCAGAUGCAAACCGUACCCCAAACCGACACAGGUGGGCGGGUAGAGAAUACCAAGGCGCUUGAGGGAAAUCAUGUUAAGGAACUCUGCAAAAUAACUCCGUAACUUCGGAAGAAGGAGUGCCUGCAGCGGUGAAGGGACUUGCUCCUGGAGCUUAAGCGGGCCGCAGUGACCAGGCCCAGCCGACUGUUUAGCAAAAACACAGCACUCUGCUAAAUCGCAAGAUGAUGUAUAGGGUGUGACGCCUGCCCGGUGCCGGAAGGUUAAUGGGAGGGGUUANNNNNNNNNNNNNNNNNNCCGUAACUAUAACGGUCCUAAGGUAGCGAAAUUCCUUGUCGGGUAAGUUCCGACCUGCACGAAUGGCGUAACGAUCUGGGCGCUGUCUCAAUGUGAUUCUCAGUGAAAUUGAAAUGGCGGUGAAGAUACCGUCAACCCGCGGCAAGACGGAAAGACCCCGUGCACCUUUACUGCAGCUUGGCAGUGAACUUGGGAAAGAUUUGUGUAGGAUAGGUGGGAGGCUGCGAAGGGGGGGCGCUAGUCCCUCUGGAGCCACCCUUGAAAUACCACCCUGAUUUUUUCUGUGUUCUAACUUAGUCCCGUUAUCCGGGACAAGGACCCUGUCUGGUGGGCAGUUUGACUGGGGCGGUCGCCUCCCAAAGAGUAACGGAGGCGCGCAAUGGUUCCCUCAGCCGGUUUGGAAAUCCGGCGCAGAGUGCAAAGGCACAAGGGAGCUUGACUGCAAGAGCGACAGCUCGAGCAGGUACGAAAGUAGGUCUUAGUGAUCCGGUGGCCCCGUGUGGAAGGGCCAUCGCUCAACGGAUAAAAGGUACGCCGGGGAUAACAGGCUAAUCGCGCCCAAGAGUUCAUAUCGACGGCGCGGUUUGGCACCUCGAUGUCGGCUCAUCGCAUCCUGGGGCUGAAGCAGGUCCCAAGGGUAUGGCUGUUCGCCAUUUAAAGCGGUACGCGAGC